GGCGGACGCUUAGAUCUCAGGGCCGGCGCUUAAUUAGGGGCGAAACGGGAAGCAGAUGGCAGCGCAGUGUAGCAUCAACAUUUCUGAGGCUCAAGGAGGUAGGGCCUGAGAGCUAAGUGCUAAUUCUGUUUUGUAAUGAUCAUAGCUAAUGAGGUAAUAAUGGUAAUUAUAGUAAGUCAGGCAUUGUGUCCUAAAUGUUAUAACUUUUACUUGACUCGACAAAUAUGACUGCACAAAGUGAGGGAAGGCUGGAAAGGCAGAUGAGACAUUAACAAAUACAGCUAACCAAAUAUACAUUUCUGUGACAACAGCGAAAAGCACACCCUCUGUAGCAAUGGAGUGAUAAUAUUGUACUGCAUACUAGUCAGGCCACACGUGGAGUACUGCAGUCCCUGUACCACACUUUUAAGAGAUUAUACGUAGAAUUUUGGAGCUCGGUCAAAGGUGAGCCGCCAGAUAAGGGUUGGUGGAAGGAAGCGAAGAGAGAUCACUCCGAACAUGACAUCUGUCUUCAUGUGAAAGAAUGGGUAGAACUGAUGUGGCCCCGAGAGUUAUCUGUAGGGCAAAGGACUGGAAGUUAAAUGAAGAUAGAUUUUAACUGAAAACAAAGAUCAAUUCUUUUAGAGUCUGAAGAAGGAUUAUUUUAGGAAGUAACUCCCUCUUCCCCCUUCCCACCAUGUUGCAGUGGAUCAAAUAUACACUGAAUCACUACCUCAUUUAUUCAACACUUAUUUCAUGUAGGCUUAAUGCAUUGCUGUGGUGCUUGUUCUGCCGCUGAUGUGGGGCCAGCUAGUCUUUGUAGUUCCUGUAGUCUCAGUUCUGCAGACUGGCCCCAGUCCAGGAAAUCACCCUGUGUAGGAGUGGCUACAGUUAAGACCCAGAAAGACAAUCCUGAGGGGACCUGACAUCCAGCUUCUGAGUUCCGACUAUUACAGUUUGAAUAAGUGACCCGCAGAUUCAUUACACACAAGGGAAUGUGUCUUCCUUUCAUUGGAUUGAACUCUGUCAUACCAACUACCUGUAAGAUGUCAGUCCCUGAUCCAGAAUUUCAAGGAGCUGUGGAGGCAGCUCUACUAUGGGAGUGUCAUAAACCAGAGACCUUUGUGUCCUGGCUGUAUCUAUUAGGGAAGCAGCAGUUGACAUUUGAAAUAGCUAUUAUCUUCAAGGAAGCCUCACCUCCCUAAUGAGAGAGUUUAUUCUCUCCACAGUGGUCGGGGCAGUCUGAGAGAAAAUGACCAACAGAAUAUGAUGGAAUUGAUGGUACGUGACUUCUUCCAAGUUUAGGUCAUAAAAGACACUAAAGUUUCUGCUUUGGCCUCUUGAAUCACUUUCUCUGGGGGAAACCAGCUACUGGGUCAUAAAGACACUCAAGCAGCCCCAUAGAGGGGUCCAAGUGGAGAGAAACCACUUGCCAGCAUUAUCUUGGUGGUCAUGCAGCUGUGUGAAUGAGUGGAUCCUACCAUCCUGGUCAAACCUCUGCUAACCGAAGGCCCCACCUAUAUUUGACUGCAGUCUUCUGAGAGACCCCCAAGCUGCUCUAGAAUUCCUGACCUACAGAAACUGUGAGGGAUAAUAUAUGUUUGUUGUUUUAA